GACGGUGCAUGCGCAGUGUGGGUGCUGCAGCUGCAGGGUGGUGGUGGUAAUUUGGAUUCCGCAAUCGGAGAGAAAUGGCCAAGUUUUGGAGGGAUAUUAGAAGAACAGGAUUUGAAGGCGGGUAACUCAAACCAAACAUCAGAUCAAAACCUGAUAGAGUCACUCGAUUCAUCAGAACCUGAAAUUUCACAGGGGAUUAGAAGACGAGCAUUUACAGUUGGGAAACUCAAACCAGACAUCAGCUCAGGACUUGACGGAGUCACCCAAUUUAUUGUAACCUGAAUAUCAUUGGAUUUUGAACAUGGAAGGAAAAACAUUGUUCACAGUGGGAAGAAACCGUACACGUGUUCCGUGUGUGGACAAAGCUUCAGCCAAUUGUCUGGCCUGUCAGAACAUAAGCGCAGUCACAACAAGGAGAAACCAUGGAAGUGUGAGGAUUGUGGGAAGGGAUUCUAUUACCCAUCAGAGCUGGAAACUCAUCGACACAGUCACACUGGGGAGAGGCCAUUCACCUGCUCCCAUUGUGGGAAGGGAUUCACUCAGUUAUCCAACCAGCUGAUACACCAGUGAGUUCACACUGACGAGAAACCUUUUAAAUGUCUAGACUGCAGGAAGUGCUAUAACAGUUCCAGUGAAGUGAUGUACCAUCAACGUGUUCACACAGACCAGAGGCGAUUCAAGUGCUCUCAGUGCGGGAGUAGGUUCAGGUGGUCAUCUGACCUCACUAACCACCAGCGCACUCACACUGGGGAGAGACCUUUUAAAUGUCCAGACUGUGGGAAGGGCUACAAAAGUUCCUGGAACCUGAUGUCCCAUCAGCGUGUUCACACUGACGAGAGACCGUUCAGGUGCUCUCACUGUGGGACUGGGUUCAAACAUUCAUCUGACCUCACUAAACACCAGCGCACUCACAGUGGGAGAGACCUGCUCCGAGUGUGGAAAGGGAUUCACUCAGUCAUCCACCCUGUUGAAAAACCAGCAAGUUCACAAUGACAAGAGACAUUUUAAUUGCCCAGAGUGUGGGGAGUGCUUUAAGGGUUCCCGGGAACUGUUUCACACUGUUCAGGUGCUCUCACUGUGGGCAUGAGGAAAUCAUCUCAACUCACUGUCCACUGGCAACUUCACACUGGGGAGAGACUAUUCACCUCAUCUCGAGUAUGGUUAAGGAUUCACUCAGUCAUCCUACCUGCUGACACAGCAGUGAGCUCACAAGUAACCACACUGAUUGGAUUUUACUCAAACCCAGGACUGAAUGAUUUUCAUUGGGGUCUGUUUCUGCUGAUGUUAAUUAACUCCAGCCCAGUUAGAGGGGUUAAUAUUGAUGAUUAAA